CAGUCGCCACGGGAACACGAAGGGUGCAAGCGUUACUCGGAAUUACUGGGCGUAAAGCGUGCGUAGGUGGUGGUUUAAGUCCGUUGUGAAAGCCCUGGGCUCAACCUGGGAAUUGCAGUGGAUACUGGGUCACUAGAGUGUGGUAGAGGAUAGUGGAAUUUCCGGUGUAGCAGUGAAAUGCGUAGAGAUCGGAAGGAACAUCUGUGGCGAAGGCGACUAUCUGGGCCAACACUGACACUGAGGCACGAAAGCGUGGGGAGCAAACAGGAUUAGAUACCCGCGUAGUCCCUGUCUCUUAUAC
rnacentral:rRNA from 1 species